UCUCUUCUCUUCCCUCUGGCUUAUGACUGCUUUUGGAAGCAGGAUACUGAGCUAAAUGGAUCUUUGAUCUGAAUUGGUCACAGCCAUCCUUGGAUGAGGAGAAGUACAAUGACAAACGAAGCUGAUCUAAGUGUUAGAGCAAACAUUGACAGCUCACAUUAUUAGGAAGCACAGAAGAAAGAUCUAAGAAUUAGCAAAGACUCUUGUGUACCAUGAAGAACACAUGAUGUGGAAGCCUUUUUAGCACCAAAACAGAAUAGUGCACCCUCACAUGAAGGAUGGCCUGGCAUUGACUGAGAAACAUAAUUUUCACAAAA